GAUCAGGCUCACUUGCGUCUAGUUCUGUAUCUAUGAAGAGUGACCGUUCAAAAGGUGAUGGACCAAACUUCAGUGAGAAACAACCAUCAUCUAACAGAAGAGGAUCAAACUUGCGUGUGUCCUUUAGUGAUAAAACACAGUCACCAACCCAAAGUGUAAGAUCAGGCUCACACGUGUCACUCUCUGUGAAAAGUGACCGUUCAAAGGGUGAUGGACCAAACUUCAGUGAGGA